AUUAAACUAUGUGAACUUGAUUGUCUUUAUUUAAAUAAGCUACCAAGAGGAGUCAAAGACUCAGGAUCGAACUACAACAGAACCUAGAGCUUAGAUAUACCCUGUUUUAAAGGUUUAGUCAUUAACAUGACACCGUUCAUAUUAUUUUGGUUGUUUUAGUCAUUGUCAAUAAUUCUGGUUGUUCCUUUUUGGUUUUUGGUGGUUUGAAUAUUCCAAUUUAUCAUUUCGGUUGAUCUCAUUGAACAAUCAUACCGUACUAAAACAAGACAUCCACAUUUACAAAUAAAUAAUUCACAAGUUACAUGAAAAACAAGACAGGAUAACUAGCUCCGGUUACAAUUGUA
rnacentral:lncRNA from 1 species